GUUCUUGGCUCCUGUCCUAGAAGACUAACUUCAGAGCCUGCAAGUGAGAUAAACAAUUGAUAGCAUUUGGAUACAAGGACAAAGAAUAGUAGAAGCUUCUGGAUUGGCUACAUUUUGCAAUCCCUGACUCACGGACAGACUAUUUCAAACCUGAACAGAAACAACAGUCCUUUUACAUGGUUUGCUUUGCUGUCUGUGCAUUUGUAAAAGCAGCUAUCUCUCCCAGUAUUUUUGGACUACUUUUGCUGAGAAAGACGUUCACUGGUCAGAAGUGCUCAAUAUGAAGGAAGAUAGUGACUGAUACCUCAGGGGAGAUUUGGACACAGAGACGGGGACACACAGAGAGAAAAUGACGUGAAGACCCACAGGGAGAACAUGGCCAUGUGACUGGAGUGAUGCAUCUAGAAGCCAGAGAACAUCAGGCAUUGCAGAAAACCACCAAAAGCUAGAAGAAACAAGAAAGAAUUAUCCCCUAGAGCCAUUAUGGAGAGAAUGGUUCUGCUAACACCUUGAUUUUGGAUUCCUAGCCUCCAGAACUGUCAGAUAACACAUUUCUGUUGUUUAAAGCCACCUACAUGUUGGUACUUUGUUGUGACAGCCCUACGAGACUAGCACAGGUGACUUUUUAAAGAGAUUUUUCAAUGCUAUGUAUGGUUCUAUAAGUGUAUUUUAAGAUGAGUGAAAAAAAUGAUAAUAUUUUUGCCACUCUAAUGGCAAUUCUAUUCAACAUAAUUCAGUAAACUAUAUCCCCAAUAGCACCAUUGCUACUCCUCAUUCUUAGAAUUCCAACCACACAUAAGGAUCUGAAGCAUACACUCUAACACAUGAUUAUAUACUAUCCAAUAGUGUUUGCUUGUAUUUUUUGUAGAUAAUAUAUGGUGAAAUCCCAGGUAGGAAAAGAUCAAUGAUUGCAGCUCUUCCUAACACAUUCUUCUCUAUAUUUUCACUUCUCUAUGUGCCUCUUUUUGUCUAUAGAAUUUUUUUCUAGGCUUCUAAGAAUUAUUCUGUCUUUUGAUAUCCCUGGUCUUAGAAACUUUCAGUUUACCUAGUUAUAUCCUAACCAAAGUGAGGAAACCUCUUAUUUCUCCUUUAUUUGGUAAUGAUAAGUUUGACUUUGUCAAUAGAGAAAAUUUAAAAGUAUUAUAGAGAGAAAAACCAGAGUUCUUAUCAAUCUCUUUAUCUCGAGUAUGUAAAUUAGAGAUGAGUAUUAUAGCUAACAUUUAUUGAGCCAGCUACUGUUCUAAGAGUUUAGUAUACAUUGUCUCUUUUAAUCCUCACAAGAAUUCAAUGAUGAAGAAAUUAAGAAAUGAAUUUUAAGCAAUUUGCUCAAGGUCACAGGGCUAGGAUUCAGUCCAUGCAGAAAUAAAGAAAAUAGUGUAAACUGAAUAGGUAUCAUAUCAAAGAGAACAUGAUCUCCAGUUAAUGUGGUGGCUUUUGUUAUGUAAGCAAGGCCCAGAAAAGUAUAAAAUACUACUUAGCAUAAUAAUGCAACUGUUUGUUAUUUCACAAGAUGCAAGAACAUGUGAAAAAGAGGAAUAUCUUUUCCUUAUAAUAUUGUACUGUGUUGUUACCAGGAAAACUGAUAAGUUUUUUUUGUUUUUGUUUUUUUGUUUAGUAAAAUCAAGGGUAGUUCUAGCCAUUAAUGAAAAUUGGAUUGAAAAAUGCACCUUGUUUUUACCCACUGGACAAGAACUCACUCCUUUUUUUUCUGGAUCAGUAAGUAAGCAAAUCUUUAAUCAGUGUCUGACUGAAACCUAAGGCACUUGAAUUGAAAACCAAAAGAAAAGACAAGGGUACAAAUCAUCCUCAUCCUGCAGAGAAGGAUGGAAAAAACUUGAAGGAUAGGACUGUGUAGAAUAAGGGGUAUUAAAAAUGGCAAAGAUGCAGGUAAGGUGAGAAGAAAAGAGAGAGGAAGAGACAGACAGAGAGAUAGAGACAAA